UGGGUCGAGCCUGGCAUGGACGAAGACAGCCAUGCCUGUCAGGCCCCCAGCCUCACGCCGCUAUAAAUAGCCGGGGACGUGGGGUUGUCGGUCUCUUUGUGCGAUGGUCUCGCUGCACCGGUUUGGGGAGUGCUGCUUUGCCCCCCUCGGGGCUGUCGGGCUCCCUCCCCGACACCCGGGGAGGCGAUGGCCCGGGCUUCCUGCGAGUGGGUGUCUCGGGGCCCUGCGGGUGAGGGGGCCGCAGUCUCGGGCUGAGCAGGAUGACCUACCGUUACAGACUAGAGUUUCUGACGCGCCCGUGACGCCGCUCUUCGGAACUGACCCAGCCCAGGGCCGGGGGGACGCGGCUAGCGUCUUCCCGGCCUCUGCUGACUCCCUGUUUCUUCCCAGGUCCCUGGUCCCCGCAGGCGUGUCCGCAGCGCCGCGAGGGUUUCUUAAGAUGUAUGCCGGAGUGUUAACCGUUGAAUAAAGCAUGAUUAUUCUGGAAGCCUAGCUGGGGUCGCUCCCUUUCAGAUUAGGCACCGGUCUGGUGGCGGCUGAAGGGCUGAAGUUUUUUGAAUUCGCCCUCUUGGAGAGAUGCUGUGGAGAGAUGUCUGUAAUGCCUAGGUAAUGGCUCCUGCCACUUGAACCUACAGGCUGUGAUGAGAAGAGCCACAUUGUUUCUUUGUGGCUACUAUGGUGUUAACGCAGAGGAUUAUCCUAUCUGGUGUUGGGCAGAUCCUAGGAACUUCCAUCUAACCUUCUUGCAUUAACUUGUAUGAGCAGCAGCUGUCAACUUACUGGAAAAAUGAAACUGCCCAGGAAUUUUGAGAUGCUUAAAUAUUUUUAGAUCAAUGAGACUUCUUUAAUAAAAACAUUUGUUUUUAUUAAAAAGAUUCUAAUAAAACA